CCCUAAAUAAUUUUUUUUCUUAAACAAAUAGUAAAGCAGUAAAAAAUUUUUGAAAAUAUGAAAACUCAAAAAAAAAUUUUUUUUGAAAAACUGUUGUUUUUUUGAGGAAAACGUAUUCAAUAAAAGUUGUCGGCCCUAAUAAGCACUAUCGUGUAAAAAAUAAUGCGUUAGCCGUUUUCUGGAAAAUCCAGAAAAUUUGCCAUAGACAUCGAUUGAGGAAAAUCUUCGGUUUUUAAUUAGAAAAAAUUAAAUUCUUUAGAUUCUAGCAUACCUGGCAGGCAUGAAAAAUCAGAUAUAAGUAAUGACUCUAAAAGCAUGGAAAACUUGGAAAAAUAACCCAAAAGCCUGGAAGAAAACGACCAAUUACUUAUAUUGGAAACAUGCCUGGAAAAAUUACGUCAAUUGCAUGGAAUAAAUUGUUUAUUAAACGGAAAAUGGGUUUUCAGAAGACAAAAAAAUGACUCUUAAAGACCUAAAUACUUCUUGGUGUUUUCUUGUACAAUUUUUAAACUUAAAAAAUGUACAAAAAUCAACCUGCGCCUCUGUCCACGCACUUUUGUAAAUUUUUAAGGCAAAUCCACGUACAAAAACCAACCUGUAGGUAACGGUAAUACUCCAAGCAGAAAUUGUAUGUACGUGUUUCUUAGUAACAGUUAUAUAUUACAUAAAUGCACAAAAGGUUACCCAAUCGCCACCACGAAAAAAAAACAGAUCCCGUUGUAUAAUACAUAAAUUGUUUUUUUUUUUUGCCAGCUAUAUAUAAUCCGUUAUAUUAUCUUCAAAGCCAUAAAUACGACUUGAUAGGUGCAACGGUACUUAGCAAGAACAGUUGAAGUAAAUGACGGUACUGUUAGGUAUUGAGUAAUGCAAUUAAUAUACGUCAGAGAAGUAUAGAACACACCCUUUAACAUGAAAACCGUUGCUUUGCUUCAAAUUCACCCCAAAUAAACAAUCUUUAUGGCAUUUUACUGCUUUACCUUAAAACCCUCCCUGGCAUAUAAUAAACGUUCAAUAAGGGCCGUAAAAUCAACCCUUACCAUCUCUCAAUCCAUCAUCAGUUCGUUCCAAGUGACCAUAGGGUGAAUACUAAUAAUCAUGAAUUUCAAAAGGCUUUUGAUACCGUUCGCGUUGCUCUGCCUAGUCAAAAUAGGAAUGAGUCAACAACAACGUUUAUUCGACAGAUUUAUGCCAGGGACGCGUUACAAUUUUUAUCAAAUGAAUCAUAAUUUGAACGUGCUGAGAUACCGCUUACUGGUGCCGCUCUCGAUGAUUAGAGGUCCUGACCCUGUCGAGGAUAAUUUCAUUAUAAACAACAGAUUGACCUCGAGGAAUAUGGUGAAGAGGGUGUGAGGGAGUGAGGACAUUGUACAUAAAUGUAAAUAAAAUGUUAUAAUUAUUUAGUGAAAA